UCUCGUGGAUACCGAAUCCAAAUAUUGUCAACAUUGCGUACGUGACUGGAACAGCGUGUAGCACACUUCCGCGGUUUGGCAGACCGAUUUCUCACGGUGAUGUCCCUCAGCUUUGCACGUAGCACGCACGUUGACUUGACUUGUACUUCAAUAUGAAUGAUUAAUAUGAAGCAAUAUCGGGGCCUACGUGCAUAACGAUUGUUGUGUUAUAUUUCGGGAAUGGGCAAAGGAGCCGUUGGCCUAUCAAUAGCGUUUGUUUCCUGUAUGGCUUUUCUUGUACCGCCACUUCUGCAUGGCAGCAUCAGUUGUUCAGUCGAAACACCCAGCCAAAGACGGCGGCAGCAAACUGUGCGCUUACGACCUGUGCCGGCAGAUGGAAAAUCUGAAGGUCUGUGGCCGCUGCAGAGAAACAUGGUACUGUUGUAAGGACCAUCAGAAGCAACAUUGGAAAGUACAUAAAAAGUCGUGUAAUAUCAACCAGACCUCAUUACAGAAUGAUCGCAUGGAGAGUGAAGAUGUCAUCUUAAGUCAGCAAACUACUGCGCCUGCAGAAUCAAAUCCUAGACUCCAGUCUGAGGCCGAAAGCACCAAGGUCCAGGAGGACAUUGCCAAAUUCUCGGCUAAUAUUCAAAGGAAGCAGUCGUACACUCUAACGCCCUGCGACAACGAGGAGAAUUUUAACGCAGCUCUGGAAUCAGAGUUUGACCGCGGUAAAGAUUUUCAUCAGUCAAUUAAGCCAGUAGUUCAUUCCAGGGAAACGAGAAGUAAACAAGAGAACAUGCCGCCCAACCAACCUACGCCGGGAGUCAUAAACACUGCUCAUCCGAGGAGCAAGAAAAGUAACGCGCUGGUCAAGUAUGUCGUGGAGCACAUGCAAAAGUUUGGUAUAUGCGUCGUGGACAAAUUCCUCAAUCCGGAAAAUGGGGAUGCCAUAUUGGAAGAAGUGAAGGCCUUGCGAGAUGAGAAAGCAUUCCAUGAUGGCCAGUUGGUUUCAGAUUCCGCAUCCGCAAAGGACAUUCGUGGAGACAUGAUCACGUGGACAGACGGCAGUGAUCCAGGAACGAAAAACAUUGGCUUCCUCAUUUCUAGAAUUGACUCGAUCAUUCAUCAGUGCAAGGGGCAUCUUGAAGGGUUCAAAAAUAUCAGUGGUCGGACAGAGGCAAUGGUGGCUUGUUAUCCGGGUAAAGGAGCCCACUAUGUCAAGCAUGUUGACAACCCUAACAAGGACGGCCGGUGUGUCACUUGCAUCUAUUACCUCAACAAGGACUGGGAUUCCAAGACGAUGGGCGGCAGUCUGCAGCUCUAUCCUCGUGAACACGACAUGAUGGCAAGUGUCGACCCUAUCUUCAACAGAUUAAUCUUCUUCUGGUCGGAUCGGAGAAAUCCCCAUGAAGUUAUGCCAGCCUUCAACACGCGGUAUGCUGUCACCGUCUGGUACUUUGACGCUAUUGAGAGGAAGGCGGCCUUAACUUCAGCAGUCAGUUAAAGAAAUGGUUCUGAUGCAUCUGGCUACGUCAUUCUUUACAUCGUGGGACGACACCGUGUCGUCAGUCUCUCAACCGUUUCACCGAGGUUGGGCGUGUUCAUUUCUGACCAGAGAACUGGUUUUUGGAAAGCAGGGAGGUAGUCAUAAGAAGUUGGACCUCAUUAAGUCAUUCAACUAUGAGAACAUUCAAAGAGUGAUCCAAAGAUUGAUCCAAAUUGAAAAAAAUCCGCCCAAGAAUUAUUUAAAAUGUGGGAGUGGGAAAAGAAGGAUCGUGGCUUUACAACUAGAAGUCAUCUUUCUGCUUUGGAAAAGUUGGUGGUGCAUCUAAUGGAAGGCAGUCAUUCAAUUACAGUGUAUGUAUGGAAUUGUAUGUAAUUAAACUUCACAUCGACCUAAUGGCCUUAAAAUCAAUUACCUUAAAAGUAUAACCUGUGAUUCUGUACCUGUAUUGUAAGAAACCAUUCUGAUAAGAAUUUUCCAUAUAAGAAAGAACUUUGAAGAAUACCAUGCAUGGCAUGCAUAUUGACACAGCAGUGUCAUUUUGGAAGCAAUUACGCAGUUUAAAUGAGUAGUUACUUUGCUAUAAACAAAAUUUAUAAUCAAGUCAUAUGGCACGUCAAUUGCAAAGUCGCAUUUCAAGUCAUAACGCAAGUCUCAUUGUACAUGUAAGGCCGAAAAUCCUUGUGUCCGUCAUGUGGUAAGCAUAGUGUGUACUGCGUGAUGUGUUGGAAUCAGUUGUUUGAAAAGCAACGCCCAUACGUCCAUGUAUCUUGUCCGUAUUUUGCAUUGUGCUAUCUGUACUGCGUUAUCCAUUGAAAUUUUAUAUGCUUCAGGUAGCAAUUGAAAUGGAUGGCACAUACAAUACGCACAAGGGUUUUUUUGUGUGAAACUGAAAGAAACGAUGUAGUGGUGGGGUAAAAAGAUUCACAUUUGGUUGACUUUCAAACGAAGCAGUUUAUGUGUGAAUCGUAUUGAAACAAACUAGGGCCUGCCUCAAUUUUAAUUUUCAAAUCUUCCAUUGAUAAAACAUCGAAUUUUGUAUUAUAUUGAGAAGUUAAAUCUUGUCAACGUUUGUUUCGUAAAAUUGUACUUUGGCAAAGCUGAUCUAAAUUUGAUUGAGACUUGAUUUUUCUACUCGCAAAAUUGCUGCGUGCUCUCUGUUGAGCACUUACGUCUGUCAAGUGUGCAGAGAAAUACGUAAUUUUCAGAGUACAUGUAUGCACCACGGAUCGGAUACGCAACUGGUGAAGCACAGUGCAAUACGCACUGGAUCGAAAACGGACAUGGAUUUUCGGCCUGUCACAUCGCACGUCGCAUCUCAAGUGGCAUUGCAAGUCACAUUGGAAAUGAUAUUACAAGUCGCAUCCAAAGUCACAGCCAAAGUCGCAUUGCAAACCGCAAGUCCAGCAACAAGUUACUCAGUUAAUAAUUGUGUAAAAGUCAUUCCUUUGUUAUUCUGCAUCCCCUGUUUCUUUCUUGUAAACUGAGUUGUGAUUUGACUUAUGAUUGACCUAAAGGUAUAGUCCAUCAUUUGUAAUUUGUGCAUUUUGUUCGUUUGAAUUACUGGUCAUGUUGCUUGAGAGAAUGGCAAUGUUCACCAUCAUCGAAACAUUUUUAAAAAGGGCCGAAAACCCACAGAUGAUUUUUUUCAAGCCACCUGGCAUUAUUCGAUUUAAGGAAACAUUCUGUGGUUGGGAACAUUGAGCUGAGUGAGAAAUUGCUACAGAUUGCUGCAUAGUAUGGAAAUUCAGUGAUAAUAUGUUAUAAUUAUUCCAGCUGAACAAGUUUAAAGUUUUAUGUUCAAGUAGUUUUAAUUGAAAUACAGGUGUAUUGCAAAAACAUGCAAAGGCACAGAUUUGUAUAUAUAAAAGUUAAUUCAAAAGAGCAAAGAAUGGCAUUGUUUUGCAAUGCGCUUAAUUGCAUUUUGAAAAAAAUAUUUAAACUACAUUGAAUGGAAUUAGCGGAGUACAAAAUGGGUAUUUGUAAGGAAACUAACAUGGCUUUAAGGCUUGUCUUCCAUAUAUGACUUGAAUCUGUUUAAGUGUUUGUGUUUAGUAUACCUGUAUGUACUUUAGUCGAUUUUCGCAUGUUACAUUUGAGUAUCACAUCAGACUGGAAAAACCUCAAAUCCAGGAGGAUGCACCAGACUUGUUAUAGGAACGCAUGGCUUGUUCAUAUAAGCAGCUUUUACUAAACUCCUGUUUUUAAAAAACAAGUACUUGGCACAGUGUUUUGCAUUUGAGAGCUGUAACGUGACCUGAGCCAAUGGUUUCUAGCAAGUUUAGGGAACCGCCAACAUAGGGCUGGAUAGCUGAGUUGGUAGAGCGCUGGAACGGCAAUCCAGAGGUCUCAGGUUUAAACCUAGCUCCAGUCAAUUUCUUUGUUCAACUUUGAAAAUAUUUUUAUAAUUAAUGCACCUAAGUAGUGUCCCUUUGUGGUUUAUUCGAAAGUUUGGGAGUUGUUUUUCUCAGGACUCCCGCACUUUGGGGAAUGGGGGAUGAAUAAAAAAGCACACAUUUUCCCCCAACUCCCUGCACAUGUUUGAGAGUCAGAGUAGCGCCCUCUAGUGGUGAAAUAUACCAUGACGGCAAGAAAUGCUUUGUUGAAAUUCCAUUAUUGUAACUGAUAAAAAUAUUGGCUCAUCACGCUAAAAUAUUUAUGCAGCAUCGUAACCAAAAUUUAGUGUAGUGGUUUUUGUGAUACAUGUAUAUCAGUAAAAGUGGUAUUUGCAAUUGGCCUUUGAAAAUUACAAAAGAUGAACAAUUUAUUAAACUUUAAUUAUACAUUUGCAGAUCAGUGCGUGCUUAAAUGCUUUCACAAUGUCAAACCAAAUGUGGCCGUGCUGUUUAGUGGGAACAUCUUUUCUGUAUAUCUUGAAAAAAAAAAAUGCCUUAAUGACUAUAUGAACAGUUAAACAGUUUUCGAUAUUCAUUCUGUACUCAAUUUAUAAAACCAAGACUAGACGUGCCUAGCCCAGCAGCUUUAGGUUUAGGUAGUUUAGAACAUUAUUUAUACUCGGUGAUAUAAGUAAUGUUCUCAGUCAGUUGGACGUUGGGCUGGCCCUACAGGUCCGACAAAAACCACUAUUGGACUCGAUUAUGCGUUGAACAGUAUACAAAUAAUGAAUGCUUAUGAGUGCAAUGGUAAGAAUAAUUUCAUUUCGUGAUUGAUGGAGUGUUCCAUUCGAUGAGGUGAAGCCGAGUGGAAUGGAACAUUCCAUCUGUCACUGAAUGAAAUUAGUCUUUCAUUCCACGAUGUGAAACAUUCAUUAUUUCUUUUGUACAACACCUGAAUAAAUCCCCGUCAUCUGAUUGGUCAGAUCCACCAAUUGUGUGACCUUGCAAUGGAACUUCUGUUUAUGGUGGAAUAGAACUUCUAUUUUUGCGGCGCAAUCGUGCAGUGAGUUUGGGACGAAUAAUUCAAUGACAUGUGAUUAACGACCCACCAAUCAGAUAACAGGGAUUUAUUCAGGUGUUGUGUAAUUGUUAAUAAAUGGCAGUGAAUAGGGAAUGGUACUCAUUGAUACUUUCAAGUCGCAUCACCCGUGCUCUUCAACAGAUUGGAUUUUAUUUUCUCUGAAUAAAUUUUCAACUUGUAUGUUUUAUACCAACCCCCC
rnacentral:misc_RNA from 1 species